rnacentral:rRNA from 1 species
UACGAAGGGGGCUAGCGUUGCUCGGAAUCACUGGGCGUAAAGCGCACGUAGGCGGCUUCUUAAGUCCGGGGUGAAAUCCUGGAGCUCAACUCCAGAACUGCCUUUGAUACUGGUGAGCUUGAGUCCGGAAGAGGUGAGUGGAACUGCGAGUGUAGAGGUGAAAUUCGUAGAUAUUCGCAAGAACACCAGUGGCGAAGGCGGCUCACUGGUCCGGUACUGACGCUGAGGUGCGAAAGCGUGGGGAGCAAACAGG